ensembl:lncRNA
GAGUUGCAGUGGACACUUCCUCCUUUCAGCUCAAGACAAGACUAAGAUAAUUAAACAGAGUGAGAAGAGAGACAGAAAAAUGGAAGACAAAAAGUUACGGUCUAAAGAACUAAAGACACCACGUCUAGUAAGACAAAACAGCAUUAAUAGCGGCAAACCAAACCUAUCUGACACUGCAGUGUUUCAGAAGCGUCACAGAUGAGGAAGCAGCAGUUCUGUUCAUCUAAUCAGCAGAAUAUUAUUCUACUUGUUUAGCCACUGAUAAAAUAAUGUAAUCAAAACACAAAACUUGUAAAAAAAAAAAAAAAGAAUAACUAAAUAAAUAAAAUAAAUAUAAACA